CGACCUCCAUUGGACAGCCAGCCCACGCCCGCACGCUUAUUGGUGGAGGCUGACAGCUCCGCCCCUCCCCUCAUCAACACCACACGGCCCCGCCCUCCACGACCUGGGGAGGGCUCAGGCGCCCGACCUCUUCUCUUCAUUGGUCCAACCACGAGGACGCACCGGCACCCACUCACGUGCCCGGUGACCGGCUCAGCUCUCAGUGGGUACGGAACACGCCCGUCAAAGGAGACACAGCCAAUCCGACAGAGGUCGGGUCUUAUAGCACGGAGCGCAGGCAGAGUGACAAGCGCUUCUCAGGACCCGGCUGAGAGAAGCGUCGAUUGGUGGUUGGUACAGCCUCUGGGCGCCGAUUGGUUAGGACUGAACGUCAAUCACUGUCUUGGUGCUCCGGACUCCGCCCUGUUAUCAGGAGGCUGUUGAGUACGUGAUAUCCUGCACAACAUCGGCACCGGGCCGGAGACACCGGGAGACAGUGGUUCGAGACCCGGUGGAUCAAGACCCGGAGCGGUGAUUUGAGCACAGGACAAUGGAGUUUCUCUCUGACCUACUGGAGGCGCUGACUGCAGCAAGAGCCAACGCGUAGGAGUGAACAGCUGUCUGUAUAAAACUAUCUGAACAACCAAAUCGUGCCCUGAAAAUCAGAGUGAGCGCCUCUAUGCCCGUUGUCCCUUCAGUCUCAACUCAUUUUCAUGACAGCAACACAAAGCAAUUCAAAAACAAAUAAGCAAACAAAUAUUCAAAUAUAUCUGCAGAAAAAAAUUUAUUGAGAUCUAAAAUCUGAACAAAAAUACUGAACUUUAGAAAACAUCCACACGGACACAUGGAAUUUCGUUUUUUUCCCCCUAAUGUGUUAACAUUCUAACAAAACCAAACAAAACCCAUGACCCUUAAAACAGUGCUGUCCAGUCUGCCUGUGGUUGGUUACAUGUUCAGUUUCCGUGUUCUACUGAGGUAUGGCCUGCACACACUUUGGUAAAGUAAGUUACAAAACAAAAAACCAACCAAAAAAACAAAACAUGCAGUCACAGUCUCCCUCAGUACAGGCUGUAACUAGGAAAGAAAUUCAUCGAGGAAACUACUCAUCCCAUUAAAAAUACAAUACAGAAACCCUCAUAUUUCUCAGUUGCUGAGUUAAAAACAAGAUGAGAACUGGUCACUACACCUCAAACCUCCACAAUACCCAGCCAGCGAGCACCCAGCAGCCAGGCAUCGACAAGUCAGCGCUAAAGACAGUGGGAAGGGCAAUGAGGCAUGCGCGUCAGCUUUGCUUCAACUGGUGCCCUAGCCUGGGCCAGUCAAGUCCCGCUGAGGUAGUGUCAGCUAGGCCCCAGAGGCCCCCUGUGAGGAUGGUGAGGUCAGGGCCCCCUCCAGGUCUUCUGCGAAGGCCCAAGGGAUGGCUGCUGGAGCCACCCCCAGAAUGAAACACUCUGCUGGCUGCUGGGAAAAUAUGCCUGGGUUUUUCAAAGAUUGUUGUAGGCAGCUGGUUUGGGGUGAGGACUCCUGGCAACAUGACAUUGAGGUCUGGUACAGGGCUGAACAGUUUCUAAAUUCAUCUUCAAAGAAAAGGGCAGGUUUCCUUUUUUUCCCUUCUCUGGGAGAAUUGCAAACUUUGUAUUAAAAAAAGAGAAAA